rnacentral:rRNA from 1 species
CAGUUCAGAUUGCAGGCUGCAACCCGCCUGCAUGAAGUCGGAAUUGCUAGUAAUCGCGGACCAGCAUGCCGCGGUGAAUACGUUCCCGGGCCUUGUACACACCGCCCGUCACACCAUGGGAGCCGGUAAUACCCGAAGUCAGUAGUCCAACCUCGCGAGGACGCUGCCGAAGGUAGGAUUGGCGACUGGGGUGAAGUCGUAACAAGGUAUC